rnacentral:rRNA from 1 species
UACGAAGGGUGCAAACGUUGCUCGGAAUUAUUGGGCGUAAAGCGCACGUAGGCGGCAUUGCAAGUCCCAUGUGAAAUCCCACGGCUUAACCGUGGAAGUGCAUGGGAAACUGCAGUGCUUGAGUACUUAAGAGGAUCGCGGAAUUCCCGGUGUAGAGGUGAAAUUCGUAGAUAUCGGGAGGAACACCAGUGGCGAAGGCAGCUCGCUGGGACGUUACUGACGCUGAGACGCGAAAGCGUGGGGAGCAAACAGG